UACGUAGGGUGCAAGCGUUGUCCGGAAUUAUUGGGCGUAAAGAGCUCGUAGGCGGUUUGUCGCGUCUGCUGUGAAAACCGGAGGCUCAACCUCCGGCCUGCAGUGGGUACGGGCAGACUAGAGUGCGGUAGGGGAGAUUGGAAUUCCUGGUGUAGCGGUGGAAUGCGCAGAUAUCAGGAAGAACACCCGUGGCGAAGGCGGCGCUCUGGGACGGUACUGACGCUGAGACGCGAAAGCGUGGGGAGCGAACAGG
rnacentral:rRNA from 1 species